rnacentral:rRNA from 1 species
AUUGAACGCUGGCGGCAGGCCUAACACAUGCAAGUCGAGCGGAUGAAGGGAGCUUGCUCCUGUAUUCAGCGGCGGACGGGUGAGUAAUGCCUAGGAAUCUGCCUUGUCUUUGGGGAUAACGUCCGGAAACGGGCGCUAAUACCGCAUACGUCCUGAGGGAGAAAGUGGGGGAUCUUCGGACCUCACGCUAUCAGAUGAGCCUAGGUCGGAUUAGCUAGUUGGUGGGGUAAAGGCCUACCAAGGCGACGAUCCGUAACUGGUCUGAGAGGAUGAUCAGUCACACUGGAACUGAGACACGGUCCAGACUCCGACGGGAGGCAGCAGUGGGGAAUAUUGGACAAUGGGCGAAAGCCUGAUCCAGCCAUGCCGCGUGUGUGAAGAAGGUCUUCGGAUUGUAAAGCACUUUAAGUUGGGAGGAAGGGCAGUAAGUUAAUACCUUGCUGUUUUGACGUUACCAACAGAAUAAGCACCGGCUAACUUCGUG